GAAAAUUCUUGUAGUUGAAUA
rnacentral:tRNA from 1 species